rnacentral:miRNA from 1 species
GCUGACACAUCUCGGCCAAUCUCCAGCAGACCCUCCCUCCCAGACCCUCCCACCUCCUGGACAGCAUCCAUGUUGAAGGCAGCUUCAACAUGGAUGCUGUCCAGGAGGUGGGAGGGUCUGGGAGGGAGGGUCUGCUGGAGAUUGGCCGAGAUGUGUCAG